UGCAAUGUUGGUGAUUCCAACUCUUGUGUUUUCUCAGACAAUUCCUGUAACUGAAGUCAAAGUUGGUGAAAAUGUGACUCUGACUUGUAAUGUCACCGGGAAAGAGAGCGGACUGUUUUACUGGUACAAGAUGAAGUGUGGAUAUUCGAUCCAAACGGUUGUAACAGGGUAUUUUGAAAGUGUAAACCUUAAAGAACCAUUUAAGGUCUUUAGUUUCAAAUUCAAGGUCAUAAAAGUGGGUAAUGUGUAUUCGCUCAUCAUACGAAACAUCCAAAAGGAGGACGAAGCAAUAUACUUCUGUCAGGCAGGAAUAGCAUACAAGAUGCCGUUCUUUAAUGUCAUAAAACUGGAAGUGAGUCAGUCUGAUGUGAAACAAACUCAGAAAACUCUGUUUGGCGUCAAAACUACGACCGAAACAAAAAACAACUUGGAUUCAGUUGUCAUCGGACUUGGUGUGCUUUGUGCUCUAUGUGUGAUUGUCAUCGCUAUCCUUGUGUUUUUGAGAGACUGAUGAUAAACAUGAUCUGCAAUAUUGUGACAUUUCAUUAAUGUCAAAUAAAUUCACUUAUGCACCAGAUCCCUACAGACCACCUUGGAUAUUUCUACGACUUAAUGCUCUGUUAUAUAUGCAGUUUUUCCUCAAGUUGUAAAUAAAAAUUGUUUAAAACAUAUUUAACUUGUCACCUCAGUGAAACACUGCAGUUCAGCUCAGAUAAAAAUAUUUGGGGCUCUCAUCCUCGUUAUUUUAUUUUAUGAACACAAAUUAUUACGUUUUGAUUAAUUAUAAAAUAUUUACAAAUAUCACCAAUAAGUCAAUGAGAAUAACCUAUUCUCUGUGCUAGGUGGCACUGAGGAUACUUUACAGAGACAAGAUUGGUAUGUUACCUAUUUCCAAAAGUAUAUGAUCACCCAUCUAAAUUAUUGGAAUUACCAGUUAGGCAUGCAGAUUCUUUUUUUCGUUUAUCCAUGAAAGAACUGGUUGCUCUUAAGACUUAAGGGAAUUCAGGCGUGGCACUGUGAUUGGAUGCCACAUGUGAGACAAAUCUGAAAUAUGAGUCAUGAAAUUUUCUUGCUCCUAAAUAUUCCACAGUCAACUAUCAGUUUUAUCAUAAGAAAAUUGAAGUCCAUGACAGCAACUUACUCAUGAAGUGGUAGACCACAUUAACUGAAAGGGAUCAGCGGAUACAGUGCAGAGACGUUCUUUGGAGAGUCAAAAAAUGCUAGUCCAUCUAGAAAUCUGAUGGACAAGUCUGAGUUUGGCGGUUGCCUGGACUACGGUAUUUAUCUGUAUUGUGUAAAGUUGAUUAUGGUGUGGGGUUGUUUUUUUUUCAAGAGUUUGCUUUGCCCCUUAGUUCCUAUUAGAGGAACAUUAAAUGCAUAAAACAUACUAAAACCUUUUGGACAAUUCCAUUUUCCAAACAUUGGGCCCUUCCAAUUCCAACAUGACUGUAAACCAGUGAAUAAAGUAAGGUCCAUACAUUAAUGGCAAACUCUGGUGUGGAUGAAUUUGAAUAGCCAGCACAAGGUCCUGAUCUCGACCUGAUAGAACCCUUUUGGGAUGAAUUAGAGAAGACACUGAGAGACAGGUGUCAUAGAGUCUAUUGUUAAAAUUAACCAAAGACUUGACAUGCCAUGUCUUUGACUUGCCAUUUCUGACCUGCAAAUUGACUUGCCUUCAGUCAUGUAAUUGCCAAGUCACUGCAAUUGUGUUCAUUAUAAUAUUAUUAUGAGUAAAUAAAUUAUUUUAUAAUCCUUGCUUUAUUUUGCAUGAGUGCUCCUGACCUGCAGCAUAUCAGUAAACCUGGUAACCAAUCUUCCAUGCAAAGUACGGAGAGGAAUACCUGCAACAAAGAAAACUUGAAGCUGUUUUAACUGAUAAGUAUGGACUGACGUCAUACGGCACCCCUAUGGAUUGAAAAUGGGAUGUAACUUAAAUUCAUAUGUGAAGUGAGGGAGGUGAACAAAUACUUUUGGCAAUAUAGUGCACUUCAACCUAUGUCAUUAUUUUUUUAUAUUUAUACAUAGUGAUGUUAUCUUUCAAAUUAAAAAGAUCUAUUAGAUGAUAAGAAACAGAGGCCUUAGUAAAACAUUCCAGAUUAUUAC